UAGGGAAUCUUCGGCAAUGGGGGGAACCCUGACCGAGCAACGCCGCGUGAGUGAAGAAGGUUUUCGGAUCGUAAAGCUCUGUUGUUAAGGAAGAACGAGUGUGAGAAUGGAAAGUUCAUACUGUGACGGUACUUAACCAGAAAGGGACGGCUAACUACGUGCCAGCAGCCGCGGUAAUACGUAGGUCCCGAGCGUUGUCCGGAUUUAUUGGGCGUAAAGCGAGCGCAGGCGGUUAGAUAAGUCUGAAGUUAAAGGCAGUGGCUCAACCAUUGUAGGCUUUGGAAACUGUUAAACUUGAGUGCAGAAGGGGAGAGUGGAAUUCCAUGUGUAGCGGUGAAAUGCGUAGAUAUAUGGAGGAACACCAGUGGCGAAGGCGACUCUCUGGUCUGUAACUGACGCUGAGGCUCGAAAGCGUGGGUAGCAAACAGG
rnacentral:rRNA from 1 species